rnacentral:tRNA from 1 species
GCAUGGGUGGUUCAGUGGUAGAAUUCUUGCCUGCCACCCGGGAGGCCCGGGUUUGCUUCCCGGCGCAUGCA